AACCGCAUGGUUCAAGGAUGAAAGACGGUUUCGGCUGUCACUUACAGAUGGACCCGCGGCGCAUUAGCUAGUUGGUGAGGUAACGGCUCACCAAGGCGACGAUGCGUAGCCGACCUGAGAGGGUGAUCGGCCACACUGGGACUGAGACACGGCCCAGACUCCUACGGGAGGCAGCAGUAGGGAAUCUUCCGCAAUGGACGAAAGUCUGACGGAGCAACGCCGCGUGAGUGAUGAAGGUUUUCGGAUCGUAAAGCUCUGUUGUUAGGGAAGAACAAGUGCAAGAGUAACUGCUUGCACCUUGACGGUACCUAACCAGAAAGCCACGGCUAACUACGUGCCAGCAGCCGCGGUAAUACGUAGGUGGCAAGCGUUGUCCGGAAUUAUUGGGCGUAAAGGGCUCGCAGGCGGUUUCUUAAGUCUGAUGUGAAAGCCCCCGGCUCAACCGGGGAGGGUCAUUGGAAACUGGGAAACUUGAGUGCAGAAGAGGAGAGUGGAAUUCCACGUGUAGCGGUGAAAUGCGUAGAGAUGUGGAGGAACACCAGUGGCGAAGGCGACUCUCUGGUCUGUAACUGACGCUGAGGAGCGAAAGCGUGGGGAGCGAACAGGAUUAGAUACCCUGGUAGUCCACGCCGUAAACGAUGAGUGCUAAGUGUUAGGGGGUUUCCGCCCCUUAGUGCUGCAGCUAACGCAUUAAGCACUCCGCCUGGGGAGUACGGUCGCAAGACUGAAACUCAAAGGAAUUGACGGGGGCCCGCACAAGCGGUGGAGCAUGUGGUUUAAUUCGAAGCAACGCGAAGAACCUUACCAGGUCUUGACAUCCUCUGACAACCCUAGAGAUAGGGCUUUCCCUUCGGGGACAGAGUGACAGGUGGUGCAUGGUUGUCGUCAGCUCGUGUCGUGAGAUGUUGGGUUAAGUCCCGCAACGAGCGCAACCCUUGAUCUUAGUUGCCAGCAUUUAGUUGGGCACUCUAAGGUGACUGCCGGUGACAAACCGGAGGAAGGUGGGGAUGACGUCAAAUCAUCAUGCCCCUUAUGACCUGGGCUACACACGUGCUACAAUGGACAGAACAAAGGGCUGCGAGACCGCAAGGUUUAGCCAAUCCCACAAAUCUGUUCUCAGUUCGGAUCGCAGUCUGCAACUCGACUGCGUGAAGCUGGAAUCGCUAGUAAUCGCGGAUCAGCAUGCCGCGGUGAAUACGUUCCC
rnacentral:rRNA from 1 species